rfam:Acromyrmex echinatior unplaced genomic scaffold scaffold317, whole genome shotgun sequence.
AAUUAUAUGAUGAACAAGAUACUGCCCCAGUCUGAGAACUGUGAUUGAUUCAGUUGACUGAUAAAAU